AAUACCCAGGUAAUCAGGUUUAUACAAGUUCCGUAAAAAAAGGCUCCUAGGUAAGGCAGGAUGCCUUCUGCACUGGGGAAAGCUGCACAAAAAGCUGGUGUCAGUGUGACAUCAGGAAACCCAGGUGAGCAGGUUAAUAUCAUGGGGGAGACUGUGAUGACUCAAACAUUCAUAGAAAAAGCCUGGUUUUCCCUGAUAAAUUUGCUGAGAACUGGAAAUCCCUGUGCAUGCCAUGUUCCCAGUCUGUUUCCAGGUCGGGAAUUAAGCCAACUUUGCAGGCAAAGCCACAGGGACACCAGGGAGCUGUCAGCCCAGCCAAUGAUUUAAUAAACCAAACACCACAAGAAGGGCCGGGCCGGGGCUGGGCACUCCGGCCGCCCUCACAGCAGCACGGCGUCACCUUGGCUUCGUGCUGACCCCAGCUCACAUGCAGCUGUAUGCCUGAGCCGCAGCAGCAGAUGGAGCAUCCUGCCACCCUGCUGACUGGCUUGUCGAGGGCUGGAGGGGCACGGGUCCAACAGGAGCAGUUUUAUUUCCUGAACUGAAGAGGUUUUUCUCCUUUUGGAAAAGGACUAUCAGCUUUUUCUGACCUUCUUCCAAGGGACAGAUGUUUUUGCUCUUUCGCUCAUUCACUGCUAAGGCUUCAGGCAAUAGCUACCGCUAUUUCUUUCAGGUUUUGGAUUCAGUUCCACGGCAGCGGUCCCUGGCUGAGUUAGCCUGUUUAAUUAGUUAUUAAAAUGGAAGCACUUUUUUUUCAUCACAUCUCCUACCACUCUGGAACAGGUCCACUAAUAGUAGACACAACUCAGACAAGCAUCUAUUACUCUGCCUUGAAUAGACUAAAUAGUUUUGUCAAGUCAAUCUUUCUCCUUUGGAUUUGCCAGGCAUCUGACUCCUUCACCUUUGGGAGGGUAUGGCUGCCAAAAGCAGAGCAGCCAGGCUGGGCAUGGUCCUCCAUCACCCCAAUGGCAGUGUUCCCACCCAGCAUUACAAGAGGAUAUAGGGCUGCUCCAUCUCAUUGGGGUGAUGGCUGGCUCUGAAAGCCUGAUUAAGUGCCAGAGGUGUCUCGUGGCAGGAUUUCCUGUUUACAUUACCCUACACCUCGUUAUUAGCAUCACACCUCUGCCAAAUGUGCAUCCUUACACUGUAGCUCUGUGGAAUGGGGCAGGAGGGGGUGGUUUGGGCAGGUGAGGCAGGAAAGCACUGGUGGUGAUGGCUCCAGGCUGGGUGGAGAAAGAGGAGGAAUAAUGUGGGAGCAGCUGCACCACAACAUUUGGGGACAACUCCCCACAUUCCUCCUCUCCAGAAAGAUCUUGGGUGGAGACAGGAGCCCACCACACAUCUAAUGCAGGGUUUGUUUUGGCAUAAGGUGUCCAGGAGACAGGUAUCAGCCAGGCAGGACAGGGGAAACCACAUAUGAACUCCAGCUCUGCUGUCAGCUCUAUCAGUUUGCUCUGCUGUCAGCUCUAUCAGCUUGCUCUGCUUGCUAAGAAUGAUUUUGGCUCCUGCUAUAGAGCAUAUAUCUUAACAGAGUGAUGUCAGUGGCAUAUGUAGAGAUACUGGAAGUGCCCAGGUUGCCUUCCUCAGGUGCUUUUUGCCCUUCCAGGUGUUUUACCCUUCCAGCAUGCUCCUCUCUCAGGAGGAAGGUGCUUCAGGCUCUGUCCCAUUCAUGGAGCCUCAGCAGGGCUGGGUCAUCCUGGUCCUACCAUGCACUGCUCCACUGUGUCCCACAUCAAAUUAAACAACGACUUAGGAGUUGGCUUGGCAGCAAGGAAUCAACCCCGGGUGCCUGACAGAAACAAAUCAGCAUUUCACUGCAGGAUGCAAGUGUUGCAGAUGCUCCAAGGCAGCAUGAGAUUGCAUCUACCUCCUCAAAAUGAAGCCUUGGCAGGACGAAGCAGGCUUCCAUUGGCAUGCCUCACCACAGAGGAAGAGGAGCUGUGUCCACUACAAGCAUUCUUCUGCUAAAUUGAUGGUUUACUGAGGUGUGUCAUGAAAUCACCACCGUGGCAGAGCUGGAGAUGGGGAAAGUGCUGCAGUGUUUCUCCUUGCUUUGGGAGAACUGAUGAAGGUCAAUGUUGUUGCUUGGAUGGUGAGGGUCACUUACAGUCCUUCCCCCAUAGCAGCCAUACUUUUGAAGAACAUUUUGAAGGGUUAGGUGUCCCUAUAAGGAGUACUUGUUUGCAGUUUUUGCAGUUUAAGAUCUGAGGGAAAACUGGAUUUAGAUGGUGCUGUGCAAACAGAAAAUAAAAAGUAAUCAAAGUACUCAGAAAAACUGAGAAGUCAGCAUUUUAAACCACUAUUUUCAUCCUUCAGAACAUGUUUCUACCAGCAUGGUAUAUGAUAUAGCAAAUAGCUGGUCUAAGGUACACAAACACAAUAUAUUAUUGCUCUUGCUUAGCUGUACUUCAGCAGCAUCCAAGUAAAGUUGCCUGUGCAGCUUUCACUUAACCUGUAGAUUAGGAAAAUUAAUUACAUGGUCACAUACUAGAGAUCUGCUGGGACCCUUGCUCCCAUCUGUGACAGGAAAGAUGACACUCCAUUAACAUGUUGGGGCUGUGCACAGGAAAGGGUACUGCCUGCAGGAUCCCUGCCUGCAUAACAUAGUUGGGAAGGAAAAAAGGGGACUGAAAGGGGAGGAGGGACAGUGACUUGCUAAAGUGACCAGGAGCUGAUGGCCCUGCCCAAGAACAGGGCUCUGGCCCUGCUGAACUUGUGAGGUUUCUAAGUAAUGCCACCAGCCCAUCAACCCAAAGGUGAACUGACCUCCCCAUCUCCCAGACACCCAGAGAGCAGCGAGAGAGAUGCAUGGGUUUGAGGACUGGGCACACACAGCUGCACCAAAACAUGCUCUGCACACUGGGCAUACCCUGUCCUGAGCAUCCCAGAUGAGACAGGCAGGCUGACCCCAGCUCCCCCGCUGCAAAACUGAGAAGGGAGGCUUGCUCACACCUGCAAGGGGACAGAGGGGACAGCAUUGUUAGUGACCGCAGGUUGCUGCCACAACGACAGCAUCGCAGAAGCACCUGCAAGGAAAUUAAUCACUACAAAGCCUGUGCAGGGGUCACCUGGGUCCAAACAACCAAGCCACACACUCAAGGUGGAUGGUAAAGGAAGAAAGAGGCUAAGCAAAGGAGGUGAAGGUCCCAGACAGAGUGACGGCUGGUGUAGGAGAAGAUGCCAGACUGGAGCUGGGACCUGGGCUGAUCAUCACCACCAGCCACGCACAGCAGCACCACACCGGGAAGCCUGCUUCUCCUCUCCUGCCUCCUCCCGAAAACCCUCACCCAGCCCUGCGAACAAACUGGUGUGUCACAGUCAAUUACAGACUGUCAACCCAUGUCAACCCGAGGGACACUGGAUUUAUAUCCAGCUAAACCAGCCCAGGGUCAGAUCUCCUCUGCUGGGAGCAGAAGCAGCUGCAGAUGACAUUGGAACAUCAGAAAGCCCAGAAGCAUAAAUAGCAUCCAGGGACACUGAAGCAUCUGAGAAUCGGCACCAAGCACCUUCGUCCCCCACCCUCUCUGUGCAGCACAGGUGCCCCAGCGCUUACGGCUCCAAUUUUGUUCAGCCUUCAAUGGAUGACUGAGCCCGGGGAAGUUACCAGCCCACAGAAAUACCAUUUCUGCACACUUCUAGGAGCAGAUGUGGCAUCGCAGGGAAGCCUGGCUCAUUCCAAAAGAACCCCGUUCGCUGCAGAGCAGCAUGUCCACACUGGCUCGCUAUUUUCUGUCAAAUAACCAAGCGGGCAGUUGUAUGGAAGGGAGACAGUAGAGGGCAGCUCCACCCUGCUUAACGCAGGAAAUCAUAUUUGCAAGGAGCUGCAGUUGACGUGCUGCGUGCAGAGAUGAGGCAGAGAGUGUUGCACACCGGGAUCAUGUAAACCACAGGGAAGAUGGUGGCAGACACCAAAUUCUGCCCUCACUUCCCACCCUCAGUGCCCCUGUGCAGUGCAGAGCCCACCAGCCCUCUCUGCAGGGUGACUUGUGAUCUGAGUGACAAAAACUCUGUCGUCCAUCCUAUCUUCUGGGGCUGCUGGGGACUCAGCAUGGUCCAGCUGCCAGCAAGGGCUCGAUUUGGCCCUUGGGAUGCCCCUGCUGAAGCUUCGCCUUUCUGCAGUUAAGGACGGGGUGGGCAGAUGUCAACCCCCAUGCCUGUGUGGGGUCCCAGACCCAAGGGUGGGUGACAGGGCAGCAGGGAUGCCAGCCUCAUCAUGGCCCUGAUGGGGAUGGUUUGAACUCUUCUUGGAAAAAGUCCAUGCAGCCCAUGCUAAAAAAUGGGUGAGCAUCUUUCACCUUCCCUUGUGCGGUGGGUCCAACCCCCUGAGCAAGGGAUGCUGCCCCAUCCCUCUCAGUGCCCCCCACCCAAACACCCGCCACCACGUUGGAGUGAAGUGCCGAGCUGGAGCAGGAUCACCCUGUGCAUCACAGAGCCGCAAGGAAGGGCAUGACCUUGUUAGAGAUGUAUUUUCUGCAAAUCAUACUUCAGUAAAUAAAUCAGAGGAACCCUGGCUCUAACAGAAACAUCAGUGAAGAGGGUCACUGGCAGAAAUUUUAGCCCAGAAAUUAUUUAUAGCCUUUCUUUCCCAAUAGCCAGGACCCAGAUAAUUUGUUAGGUGAUCAGCACCCGUGUGCGGCAAACAAACUCAGACUGGAAGCUCCUGCUGGCUUCAGCAGUAAUUUUGCCAGUUUCACAAAGGCAAAUGUGGGCACAUACUGUUGGGGUCCGUCUUCUGCCACAGCUGUUUUCUUUCUCCUCUUUCCUGAGGUCUGUUUCAGAAUUUAAAUCCUGAUUUUCACCACGCUUUAUCUGCAUGUGUGAUACUUCCUGGGAGGGUUUGACUCUCAAAGCAACCAGGCAGCAACCAGCAAACACAACCAUCAUGUUUCCAUGUGCAACACCCGAUCUGACUUCCCCAGCGAUGGCGAAGGCUGGCAGAGGCACCUCACAUUUCCACUCUGAAAAGUCAGCAGGGAAGAGGUCCCUAGA